ensembl:lncRNA
AUGAAUGAGGAGUUUGAGAACAAGACUGUUAUCCUUCAACAACAUCCAGAUUGGCAGUCCAGGGAGAAACUGAGAUGGUUCAUCAGCACAUCGCUUGUUCAUGCAGAGGUGUUGAAAGGAUGUUCUGAAGCAUUCAUACCUCAAGAGACAUCGAAACUGCAGCCUAGUAGCCAUUAUGAGAGACUUCCUGCCAAGAUCAUAUCAAAAAGACAGACCAAGAACUAUGGCUCUACAAAUCAUGAAAAGGCACCAAGAAUCGCUGCUUUACAGUGCGAGUGACAUAACAUCUGCUGGAGAGAACAUCUUCAGUGUUCAGAAUCAAACUUCCCAGGAAAAACAUCAGGUGAACUUUGGAAAAGACGAUGAGAUGCCUUCAUGUACAUGCAUGGCCUGGCAGAGACAUCUUCUCCCAUGCCAGCAUUUCUGUGCUGUUUUUACCUUAGUUCCUGGCUGGAGUUGGGAGAAUCUGAGCGCUGCAUACAUGAACAACCCUCUCUUUAUGUUUGACAAGGUUUGCCUUGGACAAUCUGGUAUAGUUCCUGCUGAUAUUCAAGACAAAGAGGUUUGAAGAAGAGUAAGGAGAAUGAUACUAGUCCAGAGAGAGAGAGCUGCACCUCCAGUCCAGAAAGAUGUCUGUCUCCUGCUGCUCCCUCAGAGACCAUCCUAACCACUCCUAAAACAGAAGAAAGAGAGAAGUGUGGUACCUUGUUAAAGGAGAUAUCAGAACUGACAUGCCACAUAAAGGAUGGGACAUUUCUAGAUUCAGUAACCAAUCGCCUUUCAGAUCUGUCAGAAGAUAUAAGGCAACACGCUCCCCAUGAUGACAUCCUUUACCCUUCCUAUAUGCACCACCAUUCAAAAAAGAAAAUGUGUUCAGCAUCCGCCGGACACCCAGAACCACUUCCAAUCCCCAAAAGAUGCUGCGUAUAUGGAAUAGUUGAUGAGGGCAAUCCCUACAAGUGACUUUUGAACUAUAUUUUUAAAGUGUCACUUCCCUUAAUCAUGAUUUGUGGUUGUAAACAUUUUUGUCAUUAAAAUGCUUUAAUUAUGUGUAAUAAUUGUAGUACGUGUGGUAUUUAGAGUCGUAAUUUCUCCUGUUCUUCAGAAAUAACAAAACCUCAGGCCGAGUGGGGUCAUUUUCCUUUGCUUUCCUGACAAAAGCAGCUUGCUGGUUAUUAAAAGAGCAAUUUGACACAAAUGAUCUUGGGAAUUUUAUAAUAGUUUUUGUUCUUGUUUCAGUUGAAGAUAAUCACUAAUGUGAAGAUUCUCCCUAUUGUAUAGCGGAAUUCAAAUGUUUGGGGUUGUUAAGAUAUUUUUUAUUUUUUGAAAGAAUUCUCUUAUGCUCACCAAGUCUGAUUAUUUAUGAUUCUUUCAUGAAUAUAAAGUUCAAAAGCUGAAUAAAAAUAGCUGUAUUAAAAAAAACA